AUGUGCAAACAGACUUCUCUAGCAGGGGUUCGAAAUUUCCACUAUAUCAUUCAGUAAAAGCGAUGGUUCUACAGUUUUGCCACAGGUUCUAUAGCAAGAGUCAUCUAUUCAAAUAUAAUUGUCUGCCAUACAGUUUCCGAAAAAUGUAGAACCAAAUAAACCGAUGACGCAGUCAGGGACUAUUUUUCAUAGCUGGGCGGAAGCAUUACUGCAGCAGUGCGCUGUUAGUCCUUGUGAGUGUAUAUAAGGAGAGUGUGUGGAAGCAGGCGCGGCACAGUGCAGACGGCAGAAGAAAGAGGAAGAAUGAAGGAAACGGGGAGGACGCUCAGCUGUGAAAGCCUUGGUGACCCAGAAGACGGAUCUGUCGAGAGAAGAUAAUCCACUGACGUGAGCAGGAACAUGUCCGCACUGUAGGGGGAUAUAAUGAAGUACUCAGGAGACGUGCCUAGAAGCCAAGACAGAAAAGUGCUGUGAUCAGGUUCUCCUACCUUGUUUUGAAUGUGGCUUAAUCUACCGAGUGUCUCUGCAGCCCUUGUGAUAGGUGCGGCUGCUCCCAGUGAAUGUGUGCCGUGAGUUACCACUAGGUGGCAGUAUGAUUCUACCAGUUACAGUAAGCCUGACAGAUGAGCACUCGCUGUGGGGAGGGGGUGGGUGGGGGAACAUUGAGUUUUCUCCAAAUUUUAUUUUACAGGUGUUAUGAACUUGUCUGAAGUCUUAAGGUGAAAAAUUAAAAGCUCCAUCAGCAGCUCUAAACUUAAAUGAAAUGUUCAAGUUACUUUCUAAAGAAGGCUAAUACAGGCAUCUGAUACUGGUAUAUAAUUUUGGUAUCUGGUUUACUUUGGGGUUCCCAGUCUGAGUUAACCACUUAGUCUCCUUAGUUAGGGCCAAGUCUAAAUGUGGGGGGGAGGAAGAGAAUAACAGCCUGUAGGCUAGUAAGUUGCUAAAGCCUAUGUGCUCUGAGGAUCCUCUGACCUCACAGCGUCACGUGGCAUGUGAAGCCUCCAGCCCACCAUCAUUAGGGUUAGGUAUUACUGAUGGAUAUCACCGUGCAUGGUAUUUAGCCCUGCUGCUAUAUACUACCAGACUCGAGCAUGUCACGUGACACGUAGUUCACAGGAUUUAGCCAUUAGCCUGUAGUUAUGAUCCUCUAUAAUUUAUGGGUAGUAGUUAAUGAUAUAGGGAUAGUGGUACGCCCAGUCACUGGGGGUGGGGUGGGUUAUAAAUGGCUAUUUUUAGAUUCUUUACAGAACACACCCACAUGUCAAGCACUACCUGUUCCUGCCAAGACCUACAGUGGAUCCUUAGAUGAUGCUUCCCUUAGCCUGUGAUGUACUACAGCCCAGUGUACCAUUAGGAGCUUGGGUCCUUAUCUUGUGAGCCUGAGGUGUUCCCUACCUGUGCCAGUGGUUUCUGCAUCUGAAGGUCCCAGUGCUACUGUCCAGUCAGUGGAAGGACUUCUUGGUUCCUGUUGAUCCCAUCAUCAAAUCUCCUAGCUUUGGGUCCCUAAUAAAGAUGAGCAUCUAGAAAGCCCCCCCUUCCUCCAUUUGUCUUGGAGCGUUACCGUGUGAGAGAGGUCGCUCACUACAUGUCCGUGGUAUUCUGCAAGCCAAAGUCCAGUUACUAUUCUCCUGCAAUCGUCACAUGCCCCAUCCCCUAAUGAAGAUGAGCAUCUAGAAAGCCCCUUCCUCCAUUUGUCUUGUGAGCAAGAGGUCAUUCCCUAAAGCCAAGCCAAAAUCCUGUUACUACUGCCCAGUGAGUGGGAGAACUCUGCUGAUCGUCACUUGCCCUAUCCCCUAAUAAAGAUGAGCUGCUAGUGUGGUCCCUUGUUAGCCCUAGCCCUGUAAGGGCUUGUUAAGUUGCUGAACUGUAUAAUUUUGUGCACAUUGAAGAAAGGCUAUCACCUUAAGAACUCUUGUGUAAGAUGAAUACCUCUACAUAAGUCAAGAACUUUUCUUCCAGAGCGAUACCUGUUCUAAAUCAUGUAGUAGGGCUGGAAGUGAAAUGUUUGAUUCUUUUAUAUUUGAGGGGAUGUUAAUGUUUACUGCAUCGCUGAUUGACCUGUAUUUGAGGGGGUGAUAUCUUUGUGUAUAUUAUGCAAUAUUUUUUUAGUUCCUUGCUGUAAUGUGUGUGCCAUAUUUGAGAAGCCUGUAGCGUCGGUGUGCCACAUGAGCACAUAGUUUGCAUGCGUUUCCCAAUUUGUGCUUUGUAUUUGUUGAGCGCUUAUUUAAUUCCUACUUGCCUCCUGUGAUUAAUUCUAGACCUCAAUGAUUAGGUCUAAUAGUGUCUGUGUCUAGUUACUGGUACACUUAAUAUCAGGGCGAGUAUAUUUGCUGAAUGAGGUAUCAAAUGAUUAACUAGCAUUAAAACACUACACUAUCCUGCUAAUUCAAUUAAACACUACAAUAUCAUGAUAAACCGAUCAAAAAGAGUACAUAAGAGGAAGUCUACAGCCUAUUACUCAACCACCAGCAAUAACAGGAAAGCAUCAAAUUCUUCACUUGAGCUACAGAUCCUCCCCCACCGGAACACGCUUGGGACCAGAUACACAGGAGGCGACCUAUUCCUUUACCUUAAGGAGUCCUCUACAGCCAGGAGUGCGGAGCUCCCUGCAUAAAACAAUACUAUAAAAGUCUUCCAAGUCACAAUCGUAUAACUUAGGUUUUUACUUCCAUAAAAUAAUUGCACAUCUUGGGUGUGUUUACCUAAUAACCAAGAAAUAACAAGUAAUAAAAAAAAGUUAUCAAUUAAUACCUUAUUCAUCAAACCUGUAAAUAACCUCUACAUGCUUGGAAUGAUUCCAUAAAAGGACACAACCGCCUAAACAGCCACCUUUAUUAUACAUGGACCAAUGUUAUUAAUCUUAACCAGGUGUGCCAUAUGGCUUCCUAACGCUCAACGGGUACGAUUCUUACAUGUAAUAAAUGACAACCGUAUGACUGCGCUAUAAAGUAUUCCUAAGUGAAAGCAAUUACGGCUAUAGCCUCACAUUACAGGUACUCCGGCAUCACUGCUUUUUAGUAAGGUUUUGUUGCCGCGAUAAAUACAUUCUUGUACUUGGGGUUACUAUCUAGUGCUCUUGUUGGAUGAGUGUGUGGCUUCUGCUUGAGUCUUCAGUAUUCUAGUAGGGCCUCCUGAGUGGUUUCCAUUAGUGUGCAUCACACUGUACUUAUGAGUUCACCCCAAUGUUAUAUAUUUGACAUCUUUUUCAAUAAAAGUUCAGGUAUUGAAUUGAA